UGAACAUCUAAGGGACUGAGUU
rnacentral:snRNA from 1 species